rnacentral:rRNA from 1 species
CGAGCGACGCUUCGAGCGGAGCGGCGGACGAGCGAGUAACACGUUGGUACAUGCCCCGAACUCAGGGAUAACCCGUCGAAAGACGUGGCUAAUACCGGAUAGUCCCGUAAGGGUAAAGAUUUUUCGGUUCGGGAGUGGCCUGCGGCCUAUCAGCUUGUUGGCGGGGUAAAAGCCCACCAAGGCUACGACGGGUAACUGGUCUGAGAGGAUGAUCAGUCGCGAUGGGACUGAGACACGGCCCAU